rnacentral:rRNA from 1 species
UACGGGGGGGGCAAGCGUUGUUCGGAAUUACUGGGCGUAAAGGGCUCGUAGGCGGCCAACUAAGUCGGGUGUGAAAUCCCCAGGCUUAACCUGGGAACUGCAUCCGAUACUGGAUGGCUUGAAUCCGGGAGAGGGAUGCAGAAUUCCAGGUGUAGCGGUGAAAUGCGUAGAGAUUAGGAAGAACACCAGUGGCGAAGGCGACUUACUGGACUGUAACUGACGCUGAGGCAUGAAAGCGUGGGGAGCAAACAGG